UGGGGGAUAUUGCACAAUGGGCGAAAGCCUGAUGCAGCGACGCCGCGUGGGGGAUGAAGGCCUUCGGGUUGUAAACUUCUUUUGCUCUGAACUAGGCGCACCAUGGGGUGUGUUGAGUGUAGGGGUUGAUUAGCGCCGGCUAACUACGUGCCAGCAGCCGCGGUAAUACGUAGGGCGCGAGCGUUGUCCGGAAUUAUUGGGCGUAAAGGGCUUGUAGGUGGCUGGUUGCGUCUGUCGUGAAAGCUCAUGGCUUAACUGUGGGUUUGCGGUGGGUACGGGCUGGCUUGAGUGCAGUAGGGGAGGCUGGAAUUCCUGGUGUAGCGGUGGAAUGCGCAGAUAUCAGGAGGAAUACCGGUGGCGAAGGCGGGUCUCUGGGCUGUUACUGACACUGAGGAGCGAAAGCAUGGGGAGCGAACAGG
rnacentral:rRNA from 1 species